rnacentral:lncRNA from 1 species
GGAUCUACUCUUCUGUUUAUGUGAUUAUCUAUGAAUCAUGUUCUGGAGAUUGAUGUUUUGUAUUGAUUUUGCAUGUGCUAUGUGUUGUUUGGAAUGGUUUUUAAACUUGGAGGUUGAUGAUGGAUUGUUGUAUGUUUAAUUUAAAUGAUGAGAUAGGCUAUUCAUCAGUGAAGAAGAAAAUUUUCUUUUUGACAAAGAUUUAAUGAAAUGAU